GACUUCAGUUUGUUUUGUGAUUAUAGUUCUGGUUUCUGUUUCUGUGUCUUCACUGUGUCCCACGUCUCGUUACUUUGGACUCUGUGUUAUAUUUCCUGUUUUACUUUGACAGUCCUGUGUUACUGUUUCCUGUCUCAUGUGCGUAAUUGGUCCCAGGUGUGUUUCCCUCCUGUCUCCUGUUCCCUGAUUACUAAACUGCGUCCACGCCACCGGCGCUCCUCAGCUGGAUUCCAGGAUUUCAGAGCAUCCAGCUGUGGUGUCUGCCCAACAAGGACGUGGUGCUGAAUGCAUCCAAACCCCUGCUGACUGUCUUUUCAGCUUCGGUCAAAGGUACAGUGUCCACUGUGAACCUGAGAGCAGGAUACAGCCAGAGCAAACACAAUUUGGCUUAAAGUUUGGACCAAAUUACCAUCCAGCAUUUCAAGUUUUCCUGACUACAAAUCCAGAGAUUGUGACUCUGAUGGUCAAAGACCAAGAGGGGGCAGAAACCUGGGAAUCAUCUGUUUACCUGCCAGCACCAAGAACAGAAACCUUAAUGAGGAAUGUCCCAGCUGAGGCCCGAGUCCUGAGAGGCUGUUCACUGUCCGCUCACAGUUUAUUGAAAGAGUGUCUGAAUCUGUUUUAAACAAACGUCUGGGUAAACUCCUGCAGCAGCGUGUUAUCAAUGAUCAGGAGAUGGAAUCAGUCAGAUCACAGCAGAGCAGAUAAAGCACGAGACGUGAUCGACACGAGGAAGUGAAGCCAGCUCACUGCUGAUCGCUGCUCUCUGUGAGGAGGAUCGAUGCCUUUCCACAGAGCUGAACCUGAAUGAAGACAGACUUGUAAAGAGUCUGUGGAGGUGUGACCAUGAAUCUCAAAGACCACUGCCAGUGUCAUUGUGAUCUUCAUGUGACGUGUUUUUAACUGGACUUUAGUUCUGAAAGUGCCUCUCAUUAAAACCUGGACUCUGAUUAGAUGCUGAGCAGGACAUUGGAUGGACUGAAGCAGAGUCUGGGACCUCAGUAAGUCUCUGCGCUGCUCAUUAUUAGUGCACAAACCAGGAAAUAUGUGAAGCUCCAUUAAUGCUGAACCACAUCUACAGGUUGAAGAGCAACACCUCAGGUUAUCUGGGACCAGCGUCUGUUUCCAACAAUAUAACUGAAGCUGUUUUUACCUGUAAUGCUGGAAUAACCUAUUGAAUCACAUGAUCAGUGUUUACAAUCUGUUUACUGAGGUUUAAACUCUCCUCUGUGCUAGCUUCUGCUUUGAGCAGCACGUUGUGCUUC